GGGCCGUUAGCUCAGUUGGUAGAGCGCCUCAUUUGCACUGAGGAGGUCAGGAGUUCGAGUCUCCUACGGUCCACCA
rnacentral:tRNA from 1 species